AGAACGAGAAAUUGGGCUGUGGUGUGCCUUGAUACUAUCCCACGUGUUGCAGGAUGGAACAGGUGUGGUGUCUCAAUGCUCAUCAUGGCGCAAUUUUCAUAUG